rnacentral:rRNA from 1 species
AUUGAACGCUGGCGGCAGGCCUAACACAUGCAAGUAGAGCGAGCGGCGGAAGGGUGCGUAAUGUAUGGGGACUACCCGAUAGAGGGGGAUAACUAAUGGAAACGGUAGCUAAUACCGCAUACUAUCGGAUAAACCAUAUGGGAUUAGCUCGUAGGUGAGGGAAUGGCUCACUUAGGCGACGAUCCCUAGCUGGUCUGCGAGGAUGAUCAGCCACACUGCGACUGUGACACGUCCUCGACUCCUACGGAGGCAGCUGUUGGGAAUAUUGCACAUUGGGCGCAAGCCUGAUGCAGCCAUGCCGCGUGUAUGAAGAAGUCCCUCGGUUUGUAACGUCCUUUCAGUCGUGAGGCGUUACCGACAGAAGAAGCACCGGCUAACUCCGUGCCAGCCGCCGCGGUAAUAC